UAGCCGUAAACGAUACUCGCUAGGUGUCGGCCACGGUGCGACCGUUGUCGGUGCCGUAGGGAAGCCGUGAAGCGAGCCACCUGGGAAGUACGGCCGCAAGGCUGAACUUAAAGGAAUUGGCGGGGGAGCACAACAACGGGUGGAGCUUGCGGUUCAAUUGGAUUCAACGCCGGAAAUCUUACCGGGACCGACAGCAACAUGAAGGCCAAGCUGAAGACUUUGCCGGAUUAGCUGAGAGGAGGUGCAUGGCGUAGUCGUGU
rnacentral:rRNA from 1 species